CAAAACGAAAACGACAUUUUAUUACCCGUUAUUGGAUUUUUCGGUAAAAAAAAGUUUUAUAAAACAAACAUCGUGUACACAUUGUGUUUUUAUUAAAUAUUUGUGUUACCUCAGUGACAAGAUAUUAAUUAAUAUUAAAGAAAAAAUUAUUUUUAAUUCUGCAUAAAAAACAUGAGUAAAAAAGUAGGAAUAACAAAGUUAAUUCAAUAUUUUUUUUGAAUUAAUUAUAAUUGUAUCAAGAUUGUAUCGAUAAAAUGUAGUAAAAUUCGUUGUUAUUGACUGUAUGUACAUAUACAUAAGGUUAGAUCGAACGUGCGAUCUAACCUAUUUAUCGCUUAUUGAAGGUUAUUCCAGAAAUGGGACGUUUCAUGGUGGAUAAUAAACUCAUGGAGAGAGAAAAAUUGGUGUGGGAUAUUUGAUAAAGGUUAAUGGCACCAUCAAAAAGAGGGUGUCAAAAGGACGAAGACCCUUCGAUCGGAUAUUGUAGAAUAAACAGGCGUGGUUGAAAGUAACUUCCAUAACCUCGAUUUAUCAUGAAAUCAAGACAAAAAAGACAAUCAAAAGAUUGAGAAAACACAGAAUUGAAUAUUAAUCCAUUGAAUAAAAAAAAGAAUAACAUUUAUUCGUAAUUAUUCGAUUAUAAUCGAUCCGAUUUUUACAUAACCUAUUUGGCAUUACAAUUAUUUUCGAUUAUUAUAUUUUGAAUAAAUUAUUGAAUGUUAUUUAUAGAAGUAAUUUCAAUUGUUAAAUUUUGCCCUUCAUUGGUAGAAAAAUCUCUUUCCAAAAUUUUAAUACGUAAAUCGAUUCGAGGAAUUCAACGUAAAAGAUUGACGUUUAACUUUAUCUAAUAAGUGUGAGUGAAAGUCAUGGCCAGCAUCGAGCGAAAGGGAAAAUCGUUGGAAAAAAUAGAUUUGGUGACAUCAUAUUUGAGGAUUUUUGGAAUUGGAAGAAGAGAGAAGGACGAAAUAGGAUGACACAGUAUUUAUGGUGUAAGUGACGUAGCUAUGCUCGAUCUGACGUGACGCAUGUUUGAGAUUAUAUGGAUAGGUGAAAGGACUGUGAAAUAUUUGUAGGAAUCUUUGGCUUUUCACAUUUUUCAAGAAACCAUUGUAUCAUCAUUGAGACCAACUUACAUCUGUCGAGGAAUUAUUAAAAGGUUAGCUUUACACAUGAGAAUUGGAAAUAGUAUUCCAAAGAAACAGAUAUUAAGAAAAAAAUGCUUAUUAAAAAAAGAAAUUAUGGAUAUUUGCAUAAGAUAUCCUCGACAAUCCUAUCCUACAAAUUAUCCUAUAAAUAUGGGCCUAAACAAUGAUAAUUUGAUAAAAUGAAAAAACAUUAUAAAAAGAUACUGUAUCAUUCAAAUAUUGAAAGGAAUAAAAA